rnacentral:lncRNA from 1 species
ACUGAGUGCCUUUUUAUUUUUUUUAAAUUGUAGUUGUAAAGAGAUAAACACCGCGUGAUUUGUGGAAGCAAGUGCGCCUGAGAACAGCCUCAUGAUGUGGCAGAAUUCGCGGUGCAGACACAGUCGAAGUGGAUGUAUCCUUCGAGGACCUUCCCAUCCUAGAUUUUACGCUAAUUACAGCCAAGUUAUUGAUCCACUGAAUAAAUUAGCAGUUGCAAUGUGACAGCCUGGUGGAAGGAGAAAGCUGGUAUCUCAGGUGGUGCUGCAGGAGGAAGAACACACAACGAAUGAACUAAAGAACGAACGAAUAGAAGAAGGUAGGAAGGAAUGAAGAAAGAACGAAUAAACUAAGGAAAUGAGGGGAAGAAGCUUUAGAUGAGAGGAUUGCAUUUGUUUCAUUUCCAUACAUUCUUAAAAUCAUUUGCCAGUAUAGAUGUACGUAUCUAUGCCCCAUUACAUUAAAUAAUAAUUAGACACUACGUUACUUUAGAUUUGGUUUUUUAGAUUCUACAUAGAAGAAAUAGAAAAAAGAUAAAGGAAAGCUUAUGAAUUGAUAACCCUACCUCUUUUUGCUGUGCACAUGUUACUUCAAGAUUAUUUUCUUUGGGUCCACGAUGUAAAAGUACGUUGCACCUAAAACUAUGAUUAAGAAUUUUGAAAUAAUAAGCGUCAUUUCCGAGCCAUAAUAAUAGAAUUUCAUAAACACAUCGGCAACACGAGCCCAUGUGAGCAAG